CUGGAUUCCCCGUGUUGAAUCUCUGAAUGCAGCUUUCCUCCUUUCAGGUUCAAGGUGUGUGGUGGCACAAGUAGUUAGAAGGAAUUCCCGGAACCAAGGUCUGGACAGAUAAAGGUGAGAAUCUUAAUUCUACCAUCACAGCACUCCAAGGGUUAUCAUCACUCCACUUACCACUAGCAGAGGGAUCCUUGUUACCAUCUGAUGGGACUUUAUUGGGGAACAGUGUGUAUUCCCAGGACUUUUUUUCAUUGGGGAACAGUGUGUUU